rnacentral:rRNA from 1 species
AUGAACGCUGGCGGCGUGCCUAAUACAUGCAAGUCGAGCGAACAGACGAGGAGCUUGCUCCUCUGACGUUAGCGGCGGACGGGUGAGUAACACGUGGAUAACCUACCUAUAAGACUGGGAUAACUUCGGGAAACCGGAGCUAAUACCGGAUAAUAUAUUGAACCGCAUGGUUCAAUAGUGAAAGACAGUUUUGCUGUCACUUAUAGAUGGAUCCGCGCCGCAUUAGCUAGUUGGUAAGGUAACGGCUUACCAAGGCAACGAUGCGUAGCCGACCUGAGAGGGUGAUCGGCCACACUGGAACUGGGACACGGUCCAGACUCCUACGGGAGGCAGCAGUAGGGAAUCUUCCGCAAUGGGCGAAAGCCUGACGGAGCAACGCCGCGUGAGUGAUGAAGGUCUUCGGAUCGUAAAACUCUGUUAUUAGGGAAGAACAAAUGUGUAAGUAACUAUGCACGUCUUGACGGUACCUAAUCAGAAAGCCGCGGCUAACUACGUG